CUUAGGCCGGUAGACUGGGUCGCGUUUAUCCGGAAGGCCAGCCCCAGGGGGUAUGCUCUCGGGCAGUGAAGCACCCAGGCUGAGUUGCCUUAGGCCGGUAGACUGAGUCGCGUUUAUCCGGAAGGCCAGCCCCAGGGGGUAUGCUCUCGCGCGGCGAAGCACCCAGGCUGAGUUGCCUUAGGCCGGUAGACUGGGUCGCGUUUAUCCGGAAGGCCAGCCCCAGGGGGUAUGCUCUCGUGCAGCGAAGCACCCAGGCGGAGCUGCCUUGGGCCGGUAGUUUGUGUUGCGUUUACCCGCAUAGCCAGCACCAGCAAGGUUUUGCGCUCGGGCAGCGAGGCACCCAGGCGGAGCUGCAUUGAGUCGCUAGGUUGCGUCGUGUUUAUCCGGUAGGCCAGCCCCAGGGGGUGUGCUCUCGCGCGGCGAAGCACCCAGGCUGAGUUGCCUUGGGCCAAGAGGAUGGGUCGCAUGUAUCCGGAAGGCCAACCCCAGGGGGUAUGCUCUUGCGCGGUGAAGCACCCAGGCUGAGUUGCUUUGGGCUGGUAGGUUGCGUCGUGUCCGCCCGGAGGACCAACCCCAGCGGGAUUGUUCUCGUGUAGCGGAGGACCC
rnacentral:lncRNA from 1 species